UACGUAGGUCGGAGCAGUGUUCGGUGAAUUACUGGGCGUAAAGCGCGUGUAGGCGGUCUGCCAAGUCUGAUGUGAAAGCCCUGGGCUCAACCCAGGAAGUGCGUCAGAUACUGGUGGACUGGAGUGGCGGAGAGGAUGGCGGAAUUCCCGGUGUAGAGGUGAAAUUCGUAGAUAUCAGGAAGAACACCCGUGGCUAAGGCGGCUCUCUAGUACGGUACUGACGCUGAGACGCGAAAGCGUGGGGAGCGAACAGG
rnacentral:rRNA from 1 species